ACUUGAGAGUGGACGUAGUGAAACAAAAAAUGUUGUAAAAAGUGAUAAAAAAAAUUUAAAAAGUGCAAUUAUAAUAUAAUUUUCUUGGAGCGGUGCUUAGAAAUUGCAGAUGGAUAUUUAUAUACACACAGAUAUGGCAAGUGAGGACGACGAAAAAUUAAAAAGUACACAGAUAGUCGUGCUGUCGAUUUGGUUGGUACAAUUAGACUUUAGACUUUAACCACACAUAUAUAAAACUCGAUUUUAAAAUUUUGUACCCGGGUAAAGAAUGUAUGUUGUUUGGAAAAUGGGAAGCA